GGAAGACAACGACACAAAGGUGCUCCUCUUAUUUAGACUUUUUGUUUAUGGAGGUGGGAAAGGUUACGAUCCAGAGAAGAAAGACUACUCAGGUUUUGAGGCCUGGUUGCAGUGUUACUAUGUGGAUGGAAUGAAGUCUGUACGCGACCACAAUGGCAGGACUAUGUGGUUCAAAGUAUGCAAACACAUUUUCAUACGUAACAACUAUAUUUGUAGCACGUAUUGACUAAUAUAAAAUGGUGUCAUUUCAGGGCGAUCCAGGUCCUAUGGCUCCUAAAGGUAAACGCCAGAAAAAAUAGUUGAGAUACCAUUACACAUAAGAGAAAGCUUAGUGUGUCUUUAUCUUUUCUCACACACCAGAAUCAAAGUCUCCAAAGGCCAAAAAGAGAAAAGAUACAGAUGCAGACCAUGAUUACCCCCGCAAGAAAAAGGUAUAUUCAGUAGGUAAUCACCACCAGCACAUAGAAAUCUAACCCCAUUGUGGCUGUACUUCAGGUGUCCAGGAAACACAACUCUGACAGCACAGUGAAGAAAAAAGCAGCCAAAAAGCCCACAAAAGCAGCAAAGGAAGAAGAAAAUGGACCUCAAGAAGAAGCCACACCCAGAAGAAGAUCAGCAAACACACCUCAGCAAGAACCGAAUCCACGUCAGGCAGGAGGAAAAAGAACAAUACAGAGCCAGCUGCAGGCUUCAAGACACGUAGCGGGAGACUGACAAGACAGAAUGUCAAGUAAAGGACAUCUAUUGGAAAAUACUGUUUUUAUUCCAUGAUACAUAUUUUUAAUAAACAUUCCACACGUUUA